AGAGCGAACGCUGGCGGCAGGCUUAACACAUGCAAGUCGAGCGGGCGUAGCAAUACGUCAGCGGCAGACGGGUGAGUAACGCGUGGGAACGUACCUUUUGGUUCGGAACAACCCAGGGAAACUUGGGCUAAUACCGGAUAAGCCCUUACGGGGAAAGAUUUAUCGCCGAAAGAUCGGCCCGCGUCUGAUUAGCUAGUUGGUGGGGUAAUGGCCCACCAAGGCGACGAUCAGUAGCUGGUCUGAGAGGAUGAUCAGCCACAUUGGGACUGAGACACGGCCCAAACUCCUACGGGAGGCAGCAGUGGGGAAUAUUGGACAAUGGGCGCAAGCCUGAUCCAGCCAUGCCGCGUGAGUGAUGAAGGCCCUAGGGUUGUAAAGCUUCUUUUGUGCGGGAAGAUAAUGACGGUACCGCAAGAAUAAGCCCGGCUAACUUCGCGCCAGCAGCCGC
rnacentral:rRNA from 1 species